GAUGAACGCUAGCGGCAGGCUUAACACAUGCAAGUCGAGGGGUAUUUGGACUUCGGUUCAGAGAGACCGGCAAACGGGUGCGGAACACGUACACAACCUACCUUUAUCAGGGAGAUAGCCCAUAGAAAUGUGGAUUAAUACCCCAUAGUAUUAGGUGAUGGCAUCAUCAUUUAAUUAAAGAAUUUCGGAUAGAGAUGGGUGUGCGUAAGAUUAGCUAGUUGGUAGGGUAACGGCCUACCAAGGCAACGAUCUUUAGCUGAUGUGAGAGCAUGAUCAGCCACACGGGCACUGAGACACGGGCCCGACUCCUACGGGAGGCAGCAGUGAGGAAUAUUGGUCAAUGGACGGAAGUCUGAACCAGCCAUGCCGCGUGAAGGAUGAAGGCGUUCUGCGUUGUAAACUUCUUUUAUACGGGAAUAAAGUGCCCCACGCGUGGGUUUUGCAUGUACCGUAUGAAUAAGGAUCGGCUAACUCCGUGCCAGCAGCCGCG
rnacentral:rRNA from 1 species